rnacentral:rRNA from 1 species
AAAUUGAAGAGUUUGAUCAUGGCUCAGAUUGAACGCUGGCGGCAGGCCUAACACAUGCAAGUCGAGCGGUAGCACAGAGAGCUUGCUCUCGGGUGACGAGCGGCGGACGGGUGAGUAAUGUCUGGGAAACUGCCUGAUGGAGGGGGAUAACUACUGGAAACGGUAGCUAAUACCGCAUAAUGUCGCAAGACCAAAGUGGGGGACCUUCGGGCCUCAUGCCAUCAGAUGUGCCCAGAUGGGAUUAGCUAGUAGGUGGGGUAACGGCUCACCUAGGCGACGAUCCCUAGCUGGUCUGAGAGGAUGACCAGCCACACUGGAACUGAGACACGGUCCAGACUCCUACGGGAGGCAGCAGUGGGGAAUAUUGCACAAUGGGCGCAAGCCUGAUGCAGCCAUGCCGCGUGUGUGAAGAAGGCCUUCGGGUUGUAAAGCACUUUCAGCGGGGAGGAAGGCGUUAAGGUUAAUAACCUUGUCGAUUGACGUUACCCGCAGAAGAAGCACCGGCUAACUCCGUGCCAGCAGCCGCGGUAAUACGGAGGGUGCAAGCGUUAAUCGGAAUUACUGGGCGUAAAGCGCACGCAGGCGGUCUGUCAAGUCGGAUGUGAAAUCCCCGGGCUCAACCUGGGAACUGCAUUCGAAACUGGCAGGCUAGAGUCUUGUAGAGGGGGGUAGAAUUCCAGGUGUAGCGGUGAAAUGCGUAGAGAUCUGGAGGAAUACCGGUGGCGAAGGCGGCCCCCUGGACAAAGACUGACGCUCAGGUGCGAAAGCGUGGGGAGCAAACAGGAUUAGAUACCCUGGUAGUCCACGCCGUAAACGAUGUCGAUUUGGAGGUUGUGCCCUUGAGGCGUGGCUUCCGGAGCUAACGCGUUAAAUCGACCGCCUGGGGAGUACGGCCGCAAGGUUAAAACUCAAAUGAAUUGACGGGGGCCCGCACAAGCGGUGGAGCAUGUGGUUUAAUUCGAUGCAACGCGAAGAACCUUACCUGGUCUUGACAUCCACAGAACUUUCCAGAGAUGGAUUGGUGCCUUCGGGAACUGUGAGACAGGUGCUGCAUGGCUGUCGUCAGCUCGUGUUGUGAAAUGUUGGGUUAAGUCCCGCAACGAGCGCAACCCUUAUCCUUUGUUGCCAGCGGUUAGGCCGGGAACUCAAAGGAGACUGCCAGUGAUAAACUGGAGGAAGGUGGGGAUGACGUCAAGUCAUCAUGGCCCUUACGACCAGGGCUACACACGUGCUACAAUGGCAUAUACAAAGAGAAGCGACCUCGCGAGAGCAAGCGGAACUCAUAAAGUAUGUCGUAGUCCGGAUUGGAGUCUGCAACUCGACUCCAUGAAGUCGGAAUCGCUAGUAAUCGUAGAUCAGAAUGCUACGGUGAAUACGUUCCCGGGCCUUGUACACACCGCCCGUCACACCAUGGGAGUGGGUUGCAAAAGAAGUAGGUAGCUUAACCUUCGGGAGGGCGCUUACCACUUUGUGAUUCAUGACUGGGGUGAAGUCGUAACAAGGUAACCGUAGGGGAACCUGCGGUUGGAUCACCUCCUUA